GACGAACGCUGGCGGCGUGCCUAAUACAUGCAAGUCGAACGCAGUUGCGAACGGGUGAGUAACGCGUAGGUAACUGCCUCAUAGCGGGGGAUAACUAUUGGAAACGAUAGCUAAUACCGCAUACUUGUAGAUGGACCUGCGUUGUAUUAGCUAGUUGGUGAGGUAAAGGCUCACCAAGGCGGCGAUCCAUAGCCGGCCUGGGAGGGUGGACGGCCACACUGGGACUGAGACACCGCCCAAGCUCCUUAGGGAAGGAGCAGUAGGGAAACUUCGGCAAUUGACGGAAGGCUGACCGAGCAACGCCGCGGGAGGGGAGAAGGUUUUCGGGUCGUAAAGCUAUGUUGUUAGAGGAGCGGUAACUGAAGAGAAAGGGACGGCUAACUACGUGCCAGCAGCCGCGGUAAUAC
rnacentral:rRNA from 1 species